rnacentral:rRNA from 1 species
UAGCAUAUCAAUAAGCGGAGGAAAAGAAACUAACAAGGAUUCCCCUAGUAACGGCGAGUGAAGCGGGAAGAGCUCAAAUUUAAAAUCUGGCGGUCUACCCGUCCGAGUUGUAGUCUAGAGAAGCAUCAUCUACGCUGGACCAUGUACAAGUCUCUUGGAACAGAGCGUCAUAGAGGGUGAGAAUCCCGUCCUUGACAUGGACUCCCAGUGUUCUGUGUUGUGCUCUCAACGAGUCGAGUUGUUUGGGAAUGCAGCUCAAAAUGGGUGGUAAAUUCCAUCUAAAGCUAAAUAUUGGCGAGAGACCGAUAGCGAACAAGUACCGUGAGGGAAAGAUGAAAAGCACUUUGGAGAGAGAGUUAAACAGUACGUGAAAUUGUUGAAAUGGAAACGCUUGAAGUCAGUCGCGUUCUCUGGGAUUCAGCCUUGCUUUUGCUUGGUGCAUUUCCUAGUCUACGGGCCAGCAUGGAUUUUGACCGUUGGAAAAGGGCUGGGGGAAUGUGGCACCUUCGGGUGUGUUAUAGCCCCCUGUCGCAUGCAUCGGUUGGGAUCGAGGACCUCAGUGCACGCUUCGGUUGUGCUUUGAUGCUGGCGUAAUGGCUUUAAACGACCCGUCUUGAAACACGGACCAAGGAGUCUAACAUGUCUGCGAGUGUUUGGGUGAAAAACUCGGACGCGCAAUGAAAGUGAUAGUUGGGAACCUUUCACGAGGGGCACCGACGCCCGGACCAGACCUUCUGUGACGGAUCCGAGGUAGAGCAUAUAUGUUGGGACCCGAAAGAUGGUGAACUAUGCCUGCAUAGGGUGAAGCCAGAGGAAACUCUGGUGGAGGCUCGUAGCGAUUCUGACGUGCAAAUCGAUCGUCAAAUGUGGGUAUAGGGGCGAAAGACUAAUCGAACCAUCUAGUAGCUGGUUCUGCAA